rnacentral:snRNA from 1 species
UUGCUUUGGCAGCACAUAUACUAAAUUGGAAUGAUACAGAGAUUAACAUGGAUCCUAGGUAAGGAUGACACCCAAAUUCAGGAAGUGUUCCAUAUUUUU